rnacentral:rRNA from 1 species
AGAGUGGGCCUGCUCGGUGAAUAAUUUUUAACAGCUGCGGUAUUUUAACUGUACUAAGGUAGCAUAAUAAUUUGCCUUAUAAUUUGAGGCUAGAAUGAAUGGUUUGACGAAGGUUAAUCUGUCUCUAUCUUAUUUUUUAGAAUUUAAUUUUUAAAGUGAAAAAGCUUGAAUUUUUUAAAGGGACGAGAAGACCCUAAUGAGCUUAUAAUUUUAUUAUUAUUAUUUAAUAUAUUUAAAUGAUAUAUAUAAAUUUUAAUUGGGGUGAUUAAGGAAUAAAGAAUUAUAUAAUAACUUCCUUAGAUUAAAUAUAUAUAGAUAAAGUAACCAAUAAUAUAUUGCUUAUAAUAUAGUUACCAUAGGGAUAACAGCGUAAUUUGUUUAGAGAGUUCUUAUUGAAAAACAAGAUUGCGACCUCGAUGUUGGAUUAAAGUAACCUUAAGGUGCAGAAGCUUUAGUAAGGUAAAUCUGUUCGAUUUUUAAUACUUUACGUGAUCUGGUUCCAGGAACCGGA